GCCAUGAGAGGCGGAAGUGGAGUCGAUGGGGGAGGGGCAGCAUUUUAGGUCAAACCUCCCCCUCCACCCCCACCCCUUAGCAUAGACCAGGGCCUAGUGUGUUUCUCAUUUGCUUCCAGAAGCUUCAGCUCCCUGCUCCCCCUGCUGGGGCUGCUCCAUUCCCAGGGGCACAGACACAGCCAGGAAGGCGUCAGAAGCUUUUAUUGAGGAGGGAGCAGAGGAGGCCGGUACCAGCUUUAUACCCCAGAGGGAAACUCCCUCCCCUAAGGCAGCCUCCACUCCCAGGCCGGGGAACAGAGAGGAAGGUGCAGCACUGGGGAAGAGCUGCUUAAAACCAGAGAGUAGGAGGUGGCAUUAGGUGGGGGAGCCCCAUCCCCAGCCUAGAGAGAAGGGAGGAGCUGGCAGCAUCACAGGGAGAGCAUCUCCCCAAUCCAGGAAGCAGUGAGCAGCUCCAAUGGGAGAGCCCAGCCCUGCCCACAGGAAAGGCAGGAUGUUGGAGAAGAGCGAUGGGGAGACCUCUCCACUAGGGUGAAGCAGAGGGAUGUGUGAGCCCUCAGGGCAGAGAGCUCUGUUCGGGUGCUGCUCAGUGAGUGUUUCUGUUCAUCAGUGUGGGCAUGAACUCAGCACUAAGGUUGGUGUCAGGAGUGUUUGUGUGAUGUCAGUCUGGGAUCUCCCCACAAGUUCUGGAACCUUGGUACAAGUUGCUGUGGGGGGCACGAGGUCUCUCCACCUAUGGCCACAUCCCCUCCAUGGCCCUGCCCCACUCCCCCUCUUCCCACUGAGGCCCUGCCCCCUGGCCAGGCUGAGAACUUGGCUGCUGUGGAGAGCUUCUAAUCCUCCACCUCUGCUGGUGCAGACGGCAGAGUGUCUGGAGGGGAAAGGAUAAGAGAGGCAUCUCCCAGCAAUGGACCCAACAUCCUUGUGAAUUCCCAACUUGUCAAAAGAUAUGAAAUUGUAGAAAAGACCCUUGGGUUCUGAUUCUGUCAUCCGAGAUCUGCUUAGGUUUCAUCAGGGGAAGUUUGAGUCGCAAGACUGAGGUCCCAGUUAUGCUGGUGCGCCCUCAAGGUGAUAUUGGACACUGGACUAUGAACUAUUUCUGAAAGAACUCUUUACAGCUAGAAAACUCGCCAUCUCCGCUAUGAAUCUGAACCUUGAUGAAUCAAACGCAUGUCUGUGUGUAUACUGAUCUGUUAACCAUACUCUCUCUCUUUUGUUUUUUAAUAUAGUAUAGUUUCGUUAACAAGAAAUGGCUGUAGCGUGUAUUUGGGUAAGAUCUGAAACAUUUGUUAACCUGAGGCGUAAUGUGUCCAAUCCUUUGGGAUUGGUAGAACCUUUUCUGUUAUAUGAUGAAGUAAGAUUUUCAGAAAUCAUCGUAUUUGACACUAAGGGAAAUGUUUCCUUAAGUGACCUUGUUAUUAAGUGAUGUGUUCAUAAGUUCCUUUGUGGGACAAAGAGAAGUUUCGACCACACAAUGUGCUUAAAGACACCAGACACCCAUAAUGUGCUGCCCAGGAGCAGUUAGCAAAGUCCAAAAAAUCCAAUGUGGAGAAACGGGUCUAAGUGACCCGUGCACGUCAGUGUGUAAUGACUGGUAAUGAACGAAUCAGAAACGAGAAUAACUUGAAAAUAGCUUGGACAGCAAAAGCCCUGCCAGUUAGAAGAUACUUACAAUGCAUAACACAUGCAUGUGUAGUGUUUGAGUUAUACAAGAUACUUCCUAUUCAUAACAUUCAAAGGUGAUUGGAAAAGAACUAAUAAAUAUAUACUCUGGAUGUGUGUAAUACGUCAGACAUUGUAAGGAGCAUCAUAGGAGAAAUGCAUCAUGACCUGCCUAUGCCCUAGGAGAAGGUAACUGGGCAGUAUUUCUUUCAGUAUGUCUGUCAUUUCUUACUUCAACAGUAAGUAUAAUGGCAAGACAUGCUUUUGGAACAAAUAACGGGUUGAAUUAAUCAGUCUGAGUG